rnacentral:rRNA from 1 species
AUGAUUCUUUUCAAAAGACUUGCAUCUUUCCUGUUUGUUGGAUUCAUUAUAACUCAGACAGUUUGUUAUUUGCGGGGAACAUGGCAGUCACAAAUUUACUCCUCCAACUACCCUGUUCAGCUAACUAGGAUGAAUUUCAAGCUAUCCUCAUUCAGAUCUUUGGCAAUUCAAAAUUUGGGCCAAACCUACAAGAAAGCGCGUUCCUCUUAUAAGAUGAAACCGAUCUCUAUCGUAAGUGUCAAAGCUAGGAUUGAUACUGCUAAAAUUUUAUUUCUCACUGACAGAUGCGUCUUUCUCCAGCUAUUUCAUAGGGGCUAG